ensembl:snRNA
GUGUUAUAUGGAAGAGAAAGAAGGUUAGCACUCCCCUUGACAAGACUGGAAGAGGCCUUCUGGCCUGACAACACACAUACAGUUGAGGCAUUGCCACCUACUUCCCUGGCACCUAACCAUUUUUUUUU